UCCUGGUAUCCGCGCAUGUUCUUGUUGGCGGGACGAUAGCGCGGGACAUCUGGUGCCGAAACCUGGAACAAACGCCACACCAUCACCAGGCACCGAGGGGACCCUCCAUUCGUGGAGAGGAUCCAGAGCUGCAGGAUGCGGGAAGAAGACAACCCAUUCUGGCUACCAGAACGACUGACACAAAGAAUCCUGAGACCUAGAAAUGACUCCUGGAUGGAUCCCUCGGAAACUACCUCUAGCCCUCGCACUGCCUCUUUGGAUUUGGAUUCCUAGUACUUCAAAGAAUGGGUGGGGGUGGCUCUGUUUGGUGCAACCCUAUGCUGUGGAUUAGUGUUUAUGCUAUGGUUGGUUUACAAACUCAGAUCUCAACAGAAA